rnacentral:rRNA from 1 species
UACAGAGGGGGCAAGCGUUGUUCGGAAUUACUGGGCGUAAAGGGCGCGUAGGCGGCGCAUUUAGUCAGGCGUGAAAUUCCUGGGCUCAACCUGGGGACUGCGCUUGAUACGGGUGUGCUUGAGGAUGGAAGAGGCUCGCGGAAUUCCCAGUGUAGAGGUGAAAUUCGUAGAUAUUGGGAAGAACACCGGUGGCGAAGGCGGCGAGCUGGUCCAUUACUGACGGCUGAGGCGCGACAGCGUGGGGAGCAAACAGG